rnacentral:rRNA from 1 species
UGGGGGAUAUUGCGCAAUGGGGGAAACCCUGACGCAGCAACGCCGCGUGAAGGAUGAAGGUCUUCGGAUUGUAAACUUUUGUCUUUGGGGAAGAAUUUUGACGGUACCCAAGGAGGAAGCCACGGCUAACUACGUGCCAGCAGCCGCGGUAAUACGUAGGUGGCAAGCGUUGUCCGGAUUUACUGGGUGUAAAGGGCGUGUAGGCGGGAAAGUAGGUCAGAUGUGAAAUCUCAAGGCUCAACCUUGAAACUGCAUUUGAAACCAUUUUUCUUGAGUGUCGGAGAGGAAAGCGGAAUUCCUAGUGUAGCGGUGAAAUGCGUAGAUAUUAGGAGGAACACCAGUGGCGAAGGCGGCUUUCUGGACGAUAACUGACGCUGAGGCGCGAAAGCGUGGGGAGCAAACA